GUUUGUUUUUUCGCGCAACGUCGAUCGCACUGGCACAACGGGGGGCACAUGUUUGCUGCAUGCCAAUGCGCCGGCCCGCAAAACGCGCGACUCCAAAGUUCUGCCUGCUGGCCUAGCUUUAGUUUUCAGAGCAUCGCGUUGACACGAUUUCGUCUGUUUUCUCACGAUAAUAUAAUAAGUCUGCUGCGACUCUCUGGAGAGUGUGUAUACAAUAUUGAGCUAGUCUGAAACAGUUAUAGUAAAACGAGCUUGAUAGAUUUUUUUGCAUCAUGCAGAACUCGACGUUACUGGAGCCCUGGGACGCUGGCUUAGGAGCUCAGGAGCCAUGGCCACAGCCGAUUCAUCUGUAUCAACCUUACGAGGUCGAGCAAAUACUUCUGCCGGACAAUGCCAAUUGUUUGGCAGUACAGGCCUAUCUGAAGAUGUGUAAUCUCGAUUUUACGAUCGAACCCAGAUGGAACGCCGAGUUUAUGUCGCCCUCUGGACGAGUGCCCUUCAUCAAAUGUGGAGCCUUCGUCGUGCCGGAUUUCGACAAUAUCGUCUCGUUCCUCAACAGCAAAGGCACCAACUUGUCUGAGAGUCUGUCGUCUGAAGAUAAAGUCAACUUGAGGGCCUUCCUGUCAUUGGUCAAUAAUGUGCUUUACAACUCGGAGCUGUACGUUACUUGGUAUCACAUGGAUACAUACAAAACCAUUACCAAAGAGAGGCAUGGUAGCGUUUACCCAUGGCCCCUCAAUCAUAUGCUGAAUUGGCAAAAGAGAAAUCAAGUUAUCAAAAGGCUCAAUAUUUUGGGCUAUAAAAAUAAAAAACUUGAUGAUGUGUUUGAGGAUGUUAAGAAGUGCUGUGAAUCGCUUUCUGAAAGGUUGGAGGAUAAACCAUAUUUCUUUGGAAACAAUCCAAAUGAAUUAGACGCAUUGGUUUUUUCUCAUGUUCACACCUUAACAACAUCAAAUCUUCCUUCACCUGUCCAAGAUAUUGCCACAAUCAUCCGCAGUUAUCCUCGACUCCUUGAUCAUGCUUAUACUAUUAAAAAAUGCUAUUUUAACCAUACUCUUAAUCAUAGUUUAGAAAGUUUUGAAGUUAUUCCAUUAUCAUCUGAAGAAUCUAUUGUAGAAGUAUUAUGUUAAUAUUUUCUUAAACAUAUUUGUUAAAAAUUAAAAUGAAAGCAAUCUUGUAACUUUUUCAAGUUUUUCAAAAUUAACCUAAUGAAUUGGAUGCAUUGGUAUUUGGACACAUUUUUAGUAUCAUAACAACGCCGUUAACUAACAACGUUCUGGGAUCAAUAGUCAGAA
rnacentral:misc_RNA from 1 species